GUCUUCUAGUUCAUUACUUUUCAUUCUAGGUGAUGCUGCAAUACCCUCUGCACCAUAGUGGAGGGCCUUAAUUUUGCUUGAAAGUCGAGAUAUUUCUUCAUUUUUCUGAUCCAAUUUUUUGGGCUAUCAACCAAGUUUAUUUUAGCCAGAAUUAUUAAUGCUGUGCAAGGGAUGGAGAGAGGGACUAACGUGCAACACUGCACCCGAUUUUGAAGUCUGUAGAGGGAGAGUUAAAUUCACUGGUUUGUAGGCAUCUGCUAGAUCUGCAAAAUCAAUUGAGACUUCUCCAAGAAAGCCCGAUUUUGAUGACCCCUGAUUUUCCCAGGUGCAGGUUCCUUCAACAAUUGGUGAUUUUGAUAAUCUGACUGUAGGCUUUCCAACAUCUACUGGAACCAGAGAAACAAUGAGGCUUUUUGAUUUGAGCUGCGGUACCUGCCAUAAUUUCAAUACAUAAGCCAAAUCAUCGAGAGGAAUGAGGGCAGAAUCAACAUUAAGAUUUCUCCGAAAUAUAAAUCUUUGAAAUAAAUGAUGGUAUUGAUUUUUGGUUCUCCAAUAGUACAAUCAUCGUUGGCAAUGGUAAUACUCACAAUCGGUGACGGUUACACGUGUUAUUUUUGGCUUGUUUUUAGUCGUAACAGAAUUAUCCAGAUGUAGCUCCUAUCAGCCUGAUUGUGAGGGUGCGAAGAGGUAAGAUUUGAAGUUCUUGAUAACGAAUAUCCAUAGAAAGAUAAUCUUGUGGUCUAGACUAUUUAAUCAAUCAUGCAAUAAUUAUACACCAUUACUUAUAUUUGAUUUAAUUGAGUUGGGUAUGUGUCGGAUUGCUAUUGCCUAUUUAUUAGCAUUAGGUGUAUUUGUACAGGAGAGAGAAGCCGUUUGUCAUUUAUGGCGAUUGAAAUGAAGAAUGUGAGUAGUACUGUAUGAUUAAUGGUUGUGUUUGGUAUCAAUUUUAUUCUUCUUCUGUAUUUUUGCAGGUUCUUGAAUAAGCUUCUGUGAUUUUGGUAAUAAGUGGGCAUCAAAUUGGUGGGAUGAAAGCUGUGCUUGGGAGCAUCACACAAUUAAAUUUGAUAAAGAAAAUAAGUUCCAUAUUGUUGCUUAAAAUUUUAAAGGCCUGCAAAAUUAAUCUGGUAAUUUGGACUCA